CUGUACUGGAUAUCUUUUAUCCCAUUUUAUAUUUCAUAAAUCAAUAAAACUCUGCAAAUUAUUUUCUCUUUUUGAGUUUCUUUCGUGGUAUCAUCCAUCUUUUAUUCUUCAGAUUCAUCUCGAUCCACUUCCGCUCUUCUAUGAAACUCAUUGGGAGUGUUUAUUACUUUUCAGAUCUUGUAUAUCAAUGAUGAUCGAACAUGUCUUAGAACCUGUUUCAGAUCAAUCACAACAAUGAAAUCAGUCUCAACACUCAAAUCAAUCACAACAAUCAAAUCAAUCACAACAGUUUUUCCCUACAUCUUUUACAUCUUCUUUUCCAAACCUCUCACAUUUUGUCUCAGUAAAACUUGAAGCUGAUGGAUUAAAUUACCUAAUCUGGAAAAAUCAAUUCGAAUCUAUCCUUAUGUCUUAUGAUCUAUUUGAGUAUGUUGAUGGAACAAUUAAAGAACUUAUUCAGUUUCCUCAGAUUGCUGGUGAGAAAACGUUGAAUCAUGAGUAUUAUACUUGGAGAAAUAAGAAUUGUUUUGAUAUGUCUUAUUUGAAUGCAACCUUGCCAGAUCAUGUCUCUCGAAGUAUUAUUGGUUUUUCAACAGCUCGAGAAUUUGGUUAUAUAUUCAGAAAUCGAUACUUCGACAGUUCCCAGCUUGUAAAUCUUUACUUCAUAGUCAGCUCCACUCGAUUAAAAGAGGUGGAGAUAUACACCUACUUCUAAGGACAAUUCAAAGGCUGCUUCUAAGGGUGGUUCUUCAAAUGCAUCUACUUCUGGAUCUACUUCAACAUCUUCUGACGAUUCUCUUCAACAAGAUUUUCAUAGUAUUAAACUCAACUCACCAAAUGUAUGUCUUGAUCCAAAUGUUGCUUCUACAUGGACCACUGAUUCUGGAGCUGCAAGUCACAUGACUAAUGAUCCUUCUUGUCUCACCAAUUCCAAAUCCUACAAAGGUAAUUCACAAGCUAUGGUGGGUGAUGGUAAUUUUCUUAAUAUUGUACAAACUGGUGAUACUAUUUUGGAUAUUAAUUCUGUGAAAUUUCACCUUCAUGAUGUUUUGUAUGUUCCAAGUUUAAAAGAAAAUCUUAUUUAUAUUGCUCGAUUUACUAAGGAGAACUCUGUCUCUUUUGAAUUUUUUUCCUUGGGGAUAUCAUAUUAAGGACUUGGACACUAAAGAGGUGUUGGAUGAAGGUUUGGUGAAAGACAAUUUAUAUACUCUUACAUCUCUACAAGCUUCUCAGGUUGCUGCUCAUUCAGCUUCUUUACAUUCUUCUGAUCCUAGGCACAGAAAGUUAGGACAUACUUCAUCAACUAUUAUACAUAAGGUGGCUUCUCCAGCUGGUAUUUCUAUCAACACUUCAUCCUCUAGUCAGUUGUGCACUUCUUGUCAGUUAGGAAAACAUCAAAGGAUUCCUUUUUAUCAUUCAACUAGAGUCACAACUGAACCUUUGUACUUGAUCUACUGUGAUAUAUGGGGACCUGCUCCUGUUCCAUCUAGUUUAGAAUUCAAGUAUUAUAUUUUGUUUGUAGAUGAUUUUUCUAGAUUUCAUUGGAUUUAUCCUUUGAAGACAAGAGAUGAAAGUGUUGAGUAUUUUAAACAUUUUAAAAAUAUGUCUGAAAAUUUAUUGUCUACAUCAAUAAAAUUGUUUCAAUGUGAUGGAGCUCUUGAACUAGUUAAAGAAAAAUUUAAAAUUUUAUAGAUGAUUGUGAAAUCUCUUACAAAA